GACGGAGGAUGCAAGCGUUAUCCGGAAUGAUUGGGCGUAAAGCGUCCGCAGGUGGCAGUUCAAGUCUGCUGUCAAAGACCGGGGCUUAACUUCGGAAAGGCAGUGGAAACUGAACAGCUAGAGUAUGGUAGGGGCAGAGGGAAUUCCUGGUGUAGCGGUGAAAUGCGUAGAGAUCAGGAAGAACAUCGGUGGCGAAGGCGGCGACCUGGUCCUUAUACUGACGCUGAGGCGCGAAAGCGUGGGGAGCAAACAGG
rnacentral:rRNA from 1 species